UGUUGUGAAAGAAAACAACUGAAAAAAGAAACCCUUAGAAAAAGAAAACAGACUGAAAAACAAGAAAAAAUAAAGUACAAAUUGAAGCAUAUUUUCCUCUAUAUUCUUUUUUUAUAAGAGGGAAUCAUGGCUACUGUGAUUAAUAUGAUUAGCAUAAAUUCAUAUGUAUCUCUGUUGCUUUAUUUGUUGACUUCUCCAUGAGUGGGGGAUAGGGCACAGGAAGGGAGACAGUUUGAAAAUGAAAAUAAAAAGGAGCAAAACUAAAGACCAGUUUCCCUAAUGAAUAUUCAUGUAAUUUUUAAAAAAUAAGAGCAAGGAAAUUAUAGCAAAAUAUUACAGACAUUACACCAUGUUCAGUCUGGAUUUAUAGCAAAAAUGGAGGGCUGAUUCGAUUGAGAAAACUAUAAGCAAAUUAACCACAUCAAUAACAAAGGCAACUAGAAUCACAUGAUUUCAUUAGAUACAGAAACACGUUUUGACAAACUAGAAGACCCAAUCUUGUUAAAAUCAGUGUAAAGCACAACAAUGAACAGAACUUUCCUUAAAAUGAUAUGUAGUAUCUAUCUAAAACCAAGAGCAGGAAAUAUUUGUAAUGGGGAUAAGCUAGACGUCUUUCCAAUAAGACCAGGGGUGAAGCAUCACUUCUCUGUCUGAUGUGGUAGCAUUUUUGUUAUGAGUCCUUUGGAAUUGUGGUGGAUCAUUGUAGUUUUCUUUCUUUGUUUUGACAGACUUGUGUUAUAGAAGGAAUUUGGAAGGCCUCCUUUACUUUUUUUCAAUCAUAAAAGUGAGGAGGUGGGAGAAAAUACACUAUACAUCAGGUAACUCCAACAAAGCAAAAGUUGUAAUUAUUAUCAGACAAAGCAAAACCCCAAACUCCCAAUAUAGAAAUGAUGGAAAUUAUAUUAUGUCGAAAAGAAUCAAAGAAAACAAAGCCAUCUUUUCAGUGCAUGAUUAUACAUUUCCUUUAAACACUGCUUUGGCUCCACAGCACAAGGCUAAUGAUUCGUGUGUUUAUUUUCUAUCUUGAAGCUUUUCAGAAGUUGUUCAUAAUGUUAAUUAUUAUUUGUCGUCUGUUCUCAAAGAGGACCAAAUGAUGCCAGGAGGGUAACAUCUUGACUUGCAAGUGAAUUGGAUUGAAGUGAGGCAGAGCUGUGCAAAGUCAUCAGCCCCACUCUCUCCUCCAGAGUCAUCAAGAGUCCAGUGAGAAGACAUAGGCCAGAAUGAUUGGUAAUGACCCAGGAUGCAGUGUGAAACCCUGGAAUUUGUAAGCUGAGGUCUUUCCCAGGUCGCAGUUUGUCUAAAACAAUACCAUUUCUAUGGUUAAAGGAUAGGUAAGCACUGAGGUCAAAGAAGGCCUCCUUUGCCUUCACCUCUUCACCCAAGAGAACCAGAGCUAAUAGAUCUGCAGGAACUUCCUCACCCUCCAACUAAGCGACAGAUUUGUUAUUUUGGGGGCCUCAUUGGCUACUGCAGCUGCUUUGCAGGAUGAGGGAUCUCUCUGCUCCCCAAACCUAGGAAAUGAGAUAGAAAACCCAGAUUGUUCCUGGUACAGUGAUGGCUCCUGCCUCCAAAUGACUCUGGUAAAUUAACGUCUGGGCAUAUGAUCACCACCACUGAGGAGGUCAUUGAAUCAGGAGCGCUUCCUUUGGCCUCUUCAGCUCAACAAGCUGAACUGGAAGCUCUGACACCAUCUUGUGAAUUACCAAAAGGGAAAUGAGUGGACAUUUACACGGAGAGCAGGUAUGCUUUUGGGGUGGCACGUGAUUUCAGGAUGUUAUGGAGAUAUCAAGGGUUAAUGACUUCUUCUGUCACUCCCAUUAAAAAUCCCUCUUGUUGGGGCAGCUAGGUGGUGCAGUGGAUAAAGCACUGGCCCUGGAGUCGGGUGUACCUGAGUUCAAAUCUGGCUUCAGUCACUUAACACUUACUAGCUGUGUGACCCUGGGCAAGUCGCUUAACCCCAAUUGCCUCACUAAAACAAAACAAAACAAAACAAAACAAAAAUCCCUCUUGUUACCAGCAGCAGUGGCUGUUUUGAAAGUUGCAGGACCCUCCCAUGAAGACUCUCCCUAUGCCUGGGGUAAUGCCCUUGCUGACCUGUAUGCCAAGGAAGCAGCUCAGAAGCCCCCAAUCCCUAUAGGACUGUCUUCCUUUACAUCUGUUGGGCCCGCCCUCAAAUGAACACUGACUCCAGCAGAGCUUACUGCUGUCUAAGAAGCCAUGUCUUGUUCCAUCCAAGACAGACAAAGAUGAGAAGCAUGCAAAAAAGGAGAAAAACCCUGGGCUCUGGUAUGGAUGCCUAGUCCUUCCUGAUGCUUGCUGUGUGUUCUUGGGAUGGAAUACCUGCACUCUUUAAGUCACUGGAGCCCUGAGGAGCUGCUUGGUUUGAGCUGCAAAUAUUGUUGGGGGAAAAUGAGGCCAGCUGCAUUUGACAUUUAUUUACAAUGUGAAAUCUGUCCCAAAUGUGAUGUUAGCAAGCCCCUAAGACCUCUGUCAGGGAAAUUCCCUCCCCUUGAGGCAUGCUUUCAAGUCUGGCAGACUGAUUUUAUUUAGUUCCUCCCCUGCUCUGGUUAUAAGUAUGUAUUACUCAUGUUCUGCCUGUUUUCCCUGGUGGGUGGAGGCUUUUUCUUGCAAGGAAGCCACUGCAACAGACCUAGCCAAGCACCCCCAACCCUCUAGUCUGGCAUAAUGUAUCAAUAGAAUUAAGAUUCAGCUUGCACAUUUAUGGAUGAUUGGGGUCUGCCAUGGCCAAAUUCCUUAGUUCUUCUGACAUCUUAGGGUAAUCCCUUUUGACAAAUACUCUCUUUCACCCUUUGAAAUCAUUCUCGGGCAUCUUAUGACCCUCCCUCUUCCCCCCAACCCCAGUGACUCCCUCACCACCAAGGUUUCCCUUCUGCCCUACUGCUGGGAUUCAAUCAAAAAUGUUUUCAUACCUUAACUCUCUUGUUUCUCAGUCAUUUUCUAGAGACUCAAGCCUGAAUCAGUCUACCUUGCAGUCAGAACCCAAAGAAAAGGCCCUACCAAGUCCUGCUGACCAACCCCUCUGCUGCAAAACUGAAGGGAAUUGACAGCUGGGUGCACCUAUGACAUCUGAAGAGGGCUCCAUUCCCCCAAUGGAGAGCCCAGCCCACUACCAGUGAUACCAAACUCCAUCUGACCCGGAAAAGGAAGCAGACAACAGCAGGGGUAGACCCCUUUCCCAAGACACUGGAUAUGGCCUGAGAACCCUACGUUCCUUGCUUCAGCUUACAUUAAUUUAGAACUUUUGCAACCUAUGUUCCUGUACCAGCUACUGAAUGUGCCCUACUUGUUAGUCUUUCUCUAUCAUCUAUUCCCAAAUGGCUAAUUAUUUUUCAAAAUUAGUAAAUAGGUAAAAAAUCAACCCCCUUUUUGAAUCAAGUCAACUUUAGCGAGAUAACUCUUGUUCCAGCAAAACAUUAGACCCUUGUCACAUCUUUUUAGUCAUCAGCAGAAUUCCAGACUUCCUCUUGGCCAAGAGAAUGAAACGACAACCAGAAUUGACCAAUAAUUGACUGAUCCUGCCCUGGUCUCUAUUCCCAAGCCAGUGAAUUGCCUGUGGCUGACCCAGUAUUGCCAUUCUGGCUUCUCAUUAUUUUGUAAACCUCAAACUCUCCCCUCCCAAACUCUCUCACUCUCUCAGCUUUUGUUAUGUAAAAAAACAUACCUGGCGAAACCUUGAGAUACUUAUCCCUUCUAAAGGCAGUCUCUUCACUCUCAAUCUUAGUAAAAACUCUGUUCCCAUCUCACUCUUUGGGUACUCCUAGCACUUGCUAUGGUAGUACCAUCAGGUGUAACUCUUCUGCCACAAUUAAAGACCUUCAUUUUGUCAUA